UGCCAGCCGCCGCGGUAAUACAGAGGGUGCAAACGUUGUUCGGAAUUACUGGGCAUAAAGCGCACGUAGGCGGCUUGUCAAGUGCGGAGUGAAAGCCCACGGCUUACCCGUGGAAUUGCUUUGCAUACUGGCAGGCUCGAGGACGGUAGAGGAGAGCGGAACUCUUGGUGGAGCGGUGAAAUGCGUAGAUAUCAAGAGGAACACCAAAGGCGAAGGCAGCUCUCUGGUCCGUUUCUGACGCUGAGGUGCGAAAGCCAGGGUAGCGAACGGGAUUAGAUA
rnacentral:rRNA from 1 species